AACGAACGCUGGCGGCAUGCCUAACACAUGCAAGUCGAACGAGACCUUCGGGUCUAGUGGCGCACGGGUGCGUAACGCGUGGGAACCUGCCCUUAGGUUCGGAAUAACUCCCCGAAAGGGGUGCUAAUACCGGAUAAUGUCUUCGGACCAAAGAUUUAUCGCCUUGGGAUGGGCCCGCGUUGGAUUAGCUAGUUGGUAGGGUAAAAGCCUACCAAGGCGACGAUCCAUAGCUGGUCUGAGAGGAUGAUCAGCCACACUGGGACUGAGACACGGCCCAGACUCCUACGGGAGGCAGCAGUGGGGAAUAUUGGACGAUGGGCGAAAGCCUGAUCCAGCAAUGCCGCGUGAGUGAUGAAGGCCUUAGGGUUGUAAAGCUCUUUUAACCGGGAUGAUAAUGACAGUACCGGGAGAAUAAGCGCCGGCUAACUCCGUG
rnacentral:rRNA from 1 species